rnacentral:rRNA from 1 species
GACAGAGGGGGCAAGCGUUGCUCGGAAUUACUGGGCGUAAAGGGCGCGUAGGCGGGAUGGCAAGUCGGUCGUGAAAUCCUUCGGCUCAACCGAAGAACGUCGAUCGAUACUGCUGUUCUUGAGGGUUGCAGAGGAGACUGGAAUUCCCGGUGUAGCGGUGAAAUGUGUAGAGAUCGGGAGGAACACCGGUGGCGAAGGCGGGUCUCUGGGCCGAAAUUGACGCUGAGGAGCGAAAGCGUGGGGAGCAAACAGG